rnacentral:rRNA from 1 species
UUUUAUAAAUAAAUUUAUUAAGAUUAUUUAUAAAUUUAAAAAUUAAAAUUAAUUUAUUUAUUUUAUUGGGGUGAUAGAAAAAUAUGAAAAACUUUUUUUAAAAUAAAACAUAUAUAAGUGAAUAAAUGAUCCAAUUAUAUUGAUUAU